CACGUAGGGCGCAAGCGUUGUCCGGAAUUAUUGGGCGUAAAGAGCUCGUAGGUGGUUUGUUACGUCUGCUGUGAAAACCUAGGGCUUAACCCUGGGCUUGCAGUGGAUACGGGCAGACUAGAGGUAGGUAGGGGAGAAUGGAAUUCCUGGUGUAGCGGUGAAAUGCGCAGAUAUCAGGAGGAACACCGAUGGCGAAGGCAGGUCUCUGGGCUGACACUGACGCUCAUGCACGAAAGCGUGGGGAGCAAACAGG
rnacentral:rRNA from 1 species